rnacentral:rRNA from 1 species
GAUGAACGCUGGCGGCGUGCCUAAUACAUGCAAGUCGAGCGAACAGACGAGGAGCUUGCUCCUCUGACGUUAGCGGCGGACGGGUGAGUAACACGUGUAUAACCUACCUAUAAGACUGGGAUAACUUCGGGAAACCGGAGCUAAUACCGGAUAAUAUAUUGAACCGCAUGGUGCAAUAGUGAAAGACGGUUUUGCUGUCACUUAUAGAUGGAUCCGCGCCGCAUUAGCUAGUUGGUAAGGUAACGGCUUACCAAGGCAACGAUGCGUAGCCGAAGUGAGAGAGUGAUCGCCCGCACGGGAGCGGGAACGCGGACCAGACGCCUGAGGGAGGCAGCAGUAGGGAAUCUUACGCAAUAGGCGGAAGCCUGACGGAGUGAGGGCGAGUGAGUGAUAAAGGUCUCGGGAUCGUAAAGCUCGGUUAUUGGGGAAGAACAAAUGUGUAAGUAACUAUGCACGUCUUGACGGUACCUAAUCAGAAAGCCACGGCUAACUACGUG